ACGCAUUGUGUUGUGAGAUCUGUCCGGAGUUAUCGAGGAGCUCGGAAAAGUUCAAAUAAAAAAAAAAAAAUCUAAAGCAGGGGAAUGGCUGAAGACAAGCCUCUUACAUGUGGAAUUUUUUUUUUUAGCAAUGCAUUAAAAUCUUGUUUUGCGCAACAACCAAAAAAUACCGGAUUUGAUUUAUUAGCUAGAUAAAUUUUUUUAAAAAUCCCAGAGCAGACGGUACAUGCUGUUCAUCGCGAUUUUGUGCGGCAUGAUUGUUGUAGGAAGUCUCAUGUUUUUUUUUUCCUCUCUGUCUUUUUUUUCCCCUCUUUGAGCCGGGCUAUUCAAACCUGCAGAUCUAAGUAAACAAUCAUUCGAGCUCUUAAUGCAAAUAAACGGAGGGCUUCUUUAAGGUCGUCGCGCGACGCCUCUAGUUUCCAGGAUCCGUUUCUGCGUGCAGAUUUCGGGGAUCUGCAGAAUAUGGCGUCUGGUUCCUUUAUAAAAAUAAAGACAGGCUGCCAUUUUUGUUUUCCUUUUGUCUGAAUUUUUUAAUAAAACUGUCUGAGAAUGUGGGAGAGGCGGCCCAGGCACGGCGCGCAUCGCGCUUUUCCACCGACCUCCAAACCGGGUAUGGCCGAGCCACGGUUUAAUAACCCGUACUUCUGGCCUCCGCCUCCUGCGAUGCCUGGCCAGCUGGACAACCUCGUUCUAAUUAACAAGAUCAAAGAGCAGCUGAUGGCUGAGAAAAUCAGACCUCCACAUCUGCCCCCUACUUCAGUCCAGUCCCAGCAGCCCUUGCUGGUUCCCCCGACGCCUGCGGAAGGUGGGACGCACAGCAUGGCAGUGUCAAAGCUCCAGCAGAUGCCCGGCCUUCCUCCUCAUAGUCCGACGCAGCCCGAUGUGGCCCUGCACGCCCGACCCGCAUCCAGCUCCGUCGCAGGACGCAUUCUCGGUGACGUGAACCUGAACCUGGAUGAUAAGGCAGCCUUAAAAGCGAGAGGACUCUGGGAAGACUGGCAUUUACGACAGAUUAUAGACCAGCCGUCAAGAGCGAACCAUCUGUCAGGUAUAGCGCUGUCCUCUCGCACCGGCAAUCAGAACACGACCGAGGCCGUGACCCCGGCCACGCCCACAUCCUCUAGCAGCAUCGGUCACGCACGCCAUGGAGCAGCGCCUUCCGCAAACCUCCUCUCAGGGUUGGCCUGCACCAUCGGGGCGGAGCCGAUCAAAAACAGUGGAGGGCUUGCGGGGCUGCUGGGACCGCCCCCGAAAAGCGGAGGACGAGGCCGCAAGAAGAUCAAAGCAGAGAAUGCGUCCGGUCCUCUCCUAGUGGUACCUUACCCCAUCCUGGCUUCAGGAGCCGAUCAGUCGUCUGUAACAAUCACGGCCAAAGAGGGCAAAUCAUACAGGUGUAAAGUGUGUCCUCUGACCUUCUUCUCGAAGUCGGACAUGCAGAUUCACUCCAAGUCACACACAGAGGCCAAGCCGCACAAAUGUCCUCACUGCACCAAGUCGUUCGCCAACGCCUCCUACCUGGCGCAGCAUUUACGCAUCCACCUGGGGGUGAAGCCUUAUCACUGCUCAUACUGCGAGAAAUCCUUCCGCCAGCUUUCACAUCUACAGCAACACACCAGAAUCCACACAGGUGACCGGCCGUAUAAGUGUAUCCAGCCAGGAUGCGAUAAAGCCUUCACACAACUCUCCAACCUGCAGUCUCACCAGCGGUCACACAAUAAAGACAAGCCUUACAAAUGCUCGAACUGCUACCGCGCCUACUCCGACUCCGCCUCUCUGCAGAUCCACUUAGCCGCACACGCCAUCAAAAACGCCAAGGCGUACUGCUGCAGUAUGUGUGGUCGAGCCUACACCUCCGAGACGUAUCUGAUGAAGCACAUGUCGAAGCACACGGUAGUGGAGCACCUGGUGUCACAGCACUCGCCGCCCCGGAACGAAUCUCCCAGCAUCCCCAUCCGCAUCUCGCUCAUCUGAACCUGGAAAACAACCAACAACAGGGAAGUGUAAUGGAACAGAGACGACCUGAAGUGGGUUAUUUUCUUACAGCAGCAUGCCUACUUAUUCCACUUAUACCUCAACAAUUUGUCAGACACCUUAUUUAUGAAUAAAGGAGUUAAUAAAGACAUUAAUGAAUGCAGUUUGACCAAAAGUCCAGACAGGAUCCAACACCUCCUAUAGGCUUCAUCAAAAUAUUAACACACACACAUCCACUCCAUGGAGAAUUUGUUUCUGCAGCAAGGAGUACUUGAUUAUUCUAUCAAAAAAGUGUGUCAAGAUCUUUAAGGUGCCGAUAAUUCUGGAAUUGACUCUGUGUGGAAGACACCGACCCCAUGUUGACUUUGAGGACAACAAGCUCCUAUCAUCAAUACACAAAAUAACAUUCUACAGAUACUGUAUCUCCACACAACUCCAACUGACUGUACAUGACUGUAGAAAGGACAUUAUGAAUAAUUUGUCUCAGAGCAGCUUUACAGAAGAAAAGUCCAAGAUUAAUGUUAGACAAAAU